UUUUCCUUUGCAGAUAUUUGCUAUGGUAAUUGCUGGUUUUCAGUUCUCAGAAGUCACUGCCACAUAACCAGAGGGUGGCUGACAGACCAGUUGUCUUAAAAGCUUUGGUUCUGCAGACUUGCUCAUCUGCUGUUCAGUAGCAACAUAAAAUAGCAACACAGGUUCUUAUAGUGCCAAAUCAUCCUGACUCUGCAGACAGCUCUUUCCAUAAUGUGCAUGAAAAGAUUAAAACCUGUAUCUACAGUCCUGCAGCACAGAGAAAAGAAAUCCUGAUCAUGUUAACCUCUGACAAUUUCACUUUUGCUGUGGGAACAUGAUGGGCUAUUUUCCAUUUCCUCAGAAGCUCGUUGGAAUUUACCCUGGAAUUCAUGUGAGAGCUUCAGGUUCAAACUUAGUAAUGAAGACAAUUUCUGCCCUGAGAAACUGGAUGUUGACUUGAUCUAACUUAAUGAUGGAAAACACCUGAGACCAAUGAGCCCUGAACGAAAACUCCUGUGUCCUCCAGCUGUGGGUUCUGCCAAGGGAGUCGAGACAAUGGAAGCAACUUGUACGUGUGAUGUUUUUCCUGCUGGCAGAGCUUCACUGCGAACUUGGG
rnacentral:lncRNA from 1 species